UACGAAGGGGGCUAGCGUUGCUCGGAAUCACUGGGCGUAAAGGGUGCGUAGGCGGGUUUUUAAGUCAGGGGUGAAAUCCUGGAGCUCAACUCCAGAACUGCCUUUGAUACUGAAGAUCUUGAGUUCGGGAGAGGUGAGUGGAACUGCGAGUGUAGAGGUGAAAAUUCGUAGAUAUUCGCAAGAACACCAGUGGCGAAGGCGGCUCACUGGCCCGAUACUGACGCUGAGGCACGAAAGCGUGGGGAGCAAACAGG
rnacentral:rRNA from 1 species